GGCCUCUUCGUCUAAUGGUUAGGACAUUGCCUUCUCAAGGCAAGAACAGGGAUUCGACUUCCCUAGAGGUCA
rnacentral:tRNA from 4 species